AGGAGCUGGAUGAGAAGAAACUCUCAUGUCCGGUUCUGCAGUAGAGAUGGAAUUGCGAAACAACCAUCAACUAUAAC
rfam:Populus trichocarpa chloroplast, complete genome.